CUACUUCUAGCGUUUGCACUUUGUGCAUGUAUGUACCUAGCUCUCGUGUUCCAUUUUGCAUAUUUUUGGUAUAGAAAUCGAAGUGUAAGUGCGUCGAGUCGAGCCUUGUGUUCCUCCGCCUUGCUGUAGCGAAUUCACUCCAAACAUCUCCUUAUUCUGUGCAUUUCUACUUUUUGUGAUAUAGAUUAGAGAAACUUUUGUUUGUGGAAUUUAUGGACUUUGGUGUAAUGCCGAGACGUUGUGCUUUCGGUUGUGCGCUCCGUGGUAAGUAAAUUAUUCUCUUAAAUCUUAAUAGUAUAGUUUAUUGACUAAUCUUGUGAUAAAUAAAGUAUCAUAUAAGGUUUGUUCUACUCUCAGGUUCUGCUACCGGUCCGUAGAUUGAAUUUGCAAUCAUGGUUAAAACUAUUAUAAACAUACCGGUUUUCUGUAUCUUGCCCCAAAGAUUAAACUCCAAUCCCUCAAAUCACCUUAUGUCAGACUUCAGACUCCCCCUGAAUUAUAUGGUUUAAUAAUAAUUGACAGCUGUGCUGGCUUCUGACACCAUUUUUAUCAAGAGAAAAGUCAAUAUAUGAGUCCAAAAUCUAAUACUAGCCCAAUGGUCAUAACACUAGAUUAUAACAAAAUUUGUCUGAUAAUAAUAAAUUGAGUGACUAUUAAAAUAGUCACUCAAUUUAUUUAAUAAUGUUAUUUAUUAUUUUAAGAGAUUCCAAUGCACAGUUUCCCAUUAAACUUAAACAAAAAAAUUUAAACAUCUGAUCUUGAAUGUUAUAAGAAGAAGACAAUUUGUGAUAUACACUUUUCUGACAGACACAGAAAUCAUAAUCAAUGGCUAAGCACAUUGGCAGUUCCGAUGCUUCAUCUGCUUGGACCACUACAGAGUCAAGUAAUCUUAGGACAAGCUUUAUCCACACAACAUUUACUGCCUACAAUAAUACAGCAAGACUUUUCAGAGCCAUAUGUGAGCAACUUUAUUUUAGAAAAAGCAUCAACUUCAACAACAUUCCAACCUGUGGCUGCAGAUGCAUCUCAAGGUGCUUGAUGCUGGAACAUAAUUAUAGUUUUAUUAGCAAACCUAAAAGAACAGCUGGAAAAGAUCUAACGGCUCCACAGCGCACAAAGAUCAAGCAUCUUCAAGCAGAAAUAUCGCGCUUGCGAAAAAAAGGACAAUCUUUCAAAGCAAGGUUAAAAGGUGGUGCAGAUCGAUCAAUCGUAUUUUGUCAGGAAAAUUAAACAUAUGUGGGUGAAGACGAAACAAAAACAGCUGCCCAACAAUAUUAUGAUAAACAUAAACAUUAUAAAAAUAAAAAAUAAUAUGCAAA